CGAAGCACCGAAGACAGCGCCACGGCCU
rnacentral:sRNA from 1 species